GUGAGGAAUAUUGGUCAAUGGGCGAGAGCCUGAACCAGCCAAGUCGCGUGAAGGAUGAAGGUUUUAUGAAUUGUAAACUUCUUUUGCAGGGGAAUAAAGUACGGUACGUGUACCGUUUUGUAUGUACUCUGCGAAUAAGGAUCGGCUAACUCCGUGCCAGCAGCCGCGGUAAUACGGAGGAUCCAAGCGUUAUCCGGAUUUAUUGGGUUUAAAGGGUGCGCAGGCGGGUUGAUAAGUCAGCGGUGAAAGUUUGCAGCUUAACUGUAAAAAUGCCGUUGAAACUGUCGGACUUGAGUGUAAAUGAGGUAGGCGGAAUGCGUGGUGUAGCGGUGAAAUGCAUAGAUAUCACGCAGAACUCCGAUUGCGAAGGCAGCUUACUAAGCUACAACUGACACUGAAGCACGAAAGCGUGGGGAUCAAACAGGAUUAGAAACCCUAGUAGUCC
rnacentral:rRNA from 1 species